rnacentral:lncRNA from 1 species
GUAAAACUGCAAAUAACUAGUUAUCACCAAAUAUCUAGUGUUUUAUAAAGUUAGAGAUGGCUUUUUCAAACCUUCACAAAGUGUAAUUAAAGUUAGCAAAGCAACAGAACAAAACAUUGUUAUUAAGUGAUAUCAAUUUUAAUAAAGUAUUGCAUAGUUGAUGAUAUUUCAGUUGUGGAACAAUAUAAACAUGCCCUCAGAGUUUCAAAAAUUAAAAAACCAUUUACAAAAAUGUUUGAUACAAUGUUUUUAUCAUGUUUUAUACUUGUAAAGUUACUUUCCAGCUACUAUUGCUAAGUAAGGUCGCAUCAAGUUGUUAAAAUAAAUACCCAAAAGUAACCAGAUCAAAUAUUAAUUUGUCUUUCAGAAAAGUUUUAUUUAGAAUAUCAUGAGUUCAAUAAAUUUAACAAGUUCAUAAAAAGCAAUACAAAUUUUAUUAUUUCUUUAUAGCGAUAUUUCUCUUCGUCGUUAAUGUUUUGCGUGUUUUUGAUUCCCUCUUAUAAUUUUUACACCUUUAAACAUUUUAAAUAUAAUAAUAUCAUUGAAAUAUGUGACUUGGUCGAGUAGAUAUAAACGAAGUAAAAUGGUACAUCUUCAAGCGCAACCACUGUAUUUUCGGUAUUCUGGGGCUUUCCAAUAUGGCGGCCGUACAAAAAAUUGGCUUCACUUUUGAUAAUAGAGAUGCGCUAUCCAGUUAUUAUAGAGAUCAGUGGUAGAAACUCACCUUUAGAAAAAACUUUAGGUUUUAAUUUUCUUAAAGAUUAGACAUAUAUGUACUUUACGAACCAAUUUUCUUUAGACCUUAUGAUUUGCUGAGAAUUGAUGUUUUAGUUUUCAAUUUUUCUGAACAAAAUUAGAUUUAAAACAAAAAUACAAUUAUAUUUGUUUUUAAUCUAAUUUUGAGUCAGUUAAAAAAAAACAGAAUGUGUGUUAUGUGAUUUAAAUUUUUACAAAGUUGUUACAAAAUAUUGUUAAAUGUUUUGUGAACUUAUAAAUUUGUUAUUUUCAUUACUUAAUAGUUAUGUCAUUAAGUUAAACAAUGUAAUCUUUGUUAUUAUUGUAAUAAAUCAGUGAUUACCUCAUCAAUAAAAUAAAUAAUAAAAUGACAAGUGUACAUAAUAAUAUCCAAUAAAUAUUACCUUGUUAAAUUAUAUAACUAAAUAUAAACAUAUUUAGUUAAAAUCUACUUUCAACCUAAUUUUUGGUAGAUAAACAGUAGAGAAUUGACAAUAAUUAGUAGAUAAUUAGUCAUUUAAAAUAUCUGUAUUAAAACUAAUAGUUCAUCGAGAUAUGUUAAUAGUGAGAUAUGAGAGUAAUCAGUAAAGUUGCUGUAAUCUUUUUCUGACUUACAAAAAAGUGAGAAAAGCAUCUCUAUGUGUGAUUACAAUGCAUACUGUGUUAGAAGCAGAAACCGUAGGUUUUAAUCUUAUACCUGGAAAAAAAUUGUGUCCAAUCUGGCGAAGUAAAGUUAUGAAUCAUUUAUCAAAAAUUAUGAGUGAAAAGAAUGAUGAAGAUUUUUAUAUUGUAGUGAAACAUCCAUUCAAAAUGAAAAGAGGGCGUAAAUACACACUUUACAGCUGCUGGAUUUCUUAUUAAGAUCAAAGGAUUGCAUAAGUCAGGUAAAAUCAAAUAAAGUAAAUGAAAAUUGACAGCAUUAACAACCUUCGUUAAAAAAAAAGUAGCCACUUCCAUUACGCGGUCGUUUAGAUGUGGAAAGUUAUUAUUGUCAAAUUCAAAUACUAUAUUUUUAAAGACGGUGACGGCCUUUAGAUACAAAUAUUUUUCUGAGUAGCAACAAUAUUUUUAAAGGUUUAGUAGUUAUUAUUU